rnacentral:rRNA from 1 species
AAACUUUCAACAACGGAUCUCUUGGCUCUGGCAUCGAUGAAAAACGCACCGAAAUGCGAUAAGUAAUGUGAAUUGCAAAAUUCAGUGAAUCAUCGAAUCUUUGAACGCACAUUGCGCCCGCCAGUAUUCUGGCGGGCAUGCCUGUUCAAGCGUCAUUA